GCCGAUUCAUGGCGAGCCUAAUCCUAUGUGCGGUUGUUGCUCUCGCAGGCUUAAUUCACAUGUGUGUCUAGAAUUUUAGAUCAUGAUGAGGUUGCCAAUCCAUAUUGCUUCCGGUCAUUAGCGGAGGCUGUUGUUUGGGAGAUGGUGUAGUACAUGGUACUAGGUCUACUCGCUCCCCGAACCAGAGCAAGGUAUAUUGCUUUGAAUCCUACCCAUUUGUAUUACAUAGCCACAUUGUGUUAUGACUAGAAAAGACCCCUUUUUGCGAGUGCUUAAUAGCUGCAGGUCGACCUAAUAUUUUUGGGAACAAGCAUAAAUAUAUUUCUUUAAAUCCUACCCAUUUCCACUACAUAGCAAUAUAGUGCUAUGAUAAGCUUACCAACAGGUUCUUGGUGCUAGAUUCUUUAAACACAGUAGCUUAACUGAUGAAAAAUUCUACUUUACCAGUAUGAAGGAGAAACUUAGAAACUCACAAUGAUGCCAUCACCAAUUAAUUUUGAGCGUAUAUAUAAUUUUUUAAUUCUUGGUGAUCGGGGUGCAGAUGAUUAAGGUAUUAAGUAAUAUCCCUAAAUGAAAAGUUGCAGCACUCUUCGGUUCAGUACUUCAGUUUUCAGUUAACAAUGGACUAGUUCCUUUAAUUUCUUUUGGGAGUAUGUCCUUUGGUUCAACAAUUAAUAUUCUUACGUGUAGAGUUGAUAUCAUAGUCCAAAGAUUGCUGGCUGAAUUCUAUAACCGACCUAUCAUCACAUACAUAGUUCUUAUAUGCCCUCUUAAUGACAAUAGUUAGCAUGCACACUAUGUUCUGUGUAAGCUACGUUUCUUUUAAAUAUGAUUAUUCAUCUUUCACUAUAACUACCAUGAUCUGUAUUCCUAUAGGUGGUUAAUCAAAUAUAUUAUGUACUGUUAGCAGCUAACAUACACUACCCACCAUUCAAUUAACCAUCAUCCCCAUGAUGUCUGCAAGACAUCUAUUUACUUGGAAGAUUUAAAUCUACUGCUGCCCACAUAGGUAUGCUCUGUACGGAUCCAAUUACAAGCCCGGUGUAGAUAUAAACUAUGGAUAACAUCAUGCUCAAAUUAUUUUAGGCCUGAUUUUGGCCCUGUGCCUGUAUUUUCUUGAUUUUAUCCUUCUUUUGAAAUUCUUCAUAUAGGAAGCAACAUUUUCAUGCCCCAAUCCAGAAUAUGCAGAGAAGAUGAUCACUGCAAUUUAUGAAGUACGGGUUGAUGGAAAUUUGAUUGGUGGGACGGUCACAUGUGUAUUUCCUGAAAUGUUUCUCAUGUAAGUAUUACCAUGUUCUGUUCGUUCUGGUGUGUUCCGGGAUAACAAGCCAAGUAAGGCCCCCUCUAUUUGUUUUAUAAUAUAAUGAGCAUGCUUUCGGCUACAUCAUAUAUAGUAGCAGAAUGACUUUGAAUUUCAGGUAUAAUUUAUAGGGGUCACACUCCUUUUGCUAUAAUCUGUAUAUUUGGAACACCAGGUAAGCAUAUCAGGUAAAUGAAAAGGGUUGGCCAAUACUGAAUGAGGGUAACGCUACUUGCAGAGUAAUUACAGAAUGAACUUAGUCAGCAUUUGCCUUUGUUUAUCUACUCGAAUUACUGUAUUUGUUUUGCACCUUUAAGCUCUCCUUAUAACGACUUGGUUUAUUUUCCAUUUGUGAAAUAAUGGUUUGUAGACUUAAGACAGCCCAUUGGUAUAAUCACCACAUUUACUUUGGUUGGAGUUAUAUUUUUGUAUGAAUUUGUGAGGAGCUCACCAAGUUAAACAAACAUCAUUUUGUGUUUGGCUAUUUCUGUCUAUUAAACUAGAUGAUACCCCGCGCGUUGCGGCGGGAAUCUUUGCUAAAAAAUAGAAUUUAUUAACCAUCAAUUAGAAAUAAAUGAGAACUGACAGAGAAGUUUUGUGAAUUUGAGCUGAUAUAUUAUUCCCAUGUCAUGUAUAAAUUCUACGGUUACUAUUCGGAGGUCAUUUGAAUGUUUCUCUGUCACGGUGAGUGUUCGAAAGAUUGUCUUGGUUUGGUAGUCACUUAAAAUUUCUCGGUAUUGUACUCUACUAAUCGCAAUGUUUAUAAAUAGAAUAAUUUAACUAUCUUGUGUUGGUGAAUCUGUUCUCUUAUUUGUUAAUAUCUUCAAUUCAAAUUUGGUUCAGAUUUGUAAACAAUGUUGCUAAUUCCGUACAAUUUACUAAUUCCCUGCUUGUCUUUCUAAUAGUGUUUGGUGCUUGAAAAUAAAAUUGAUGUUGGCCUUUUUAUUUUUACCACGAGUAUUAUCCUGAAGCUAGCCUGCCUCUUCUCGUGAUCUCAUUUAUCCAAUGUGCAUGUAAGUUCCCCCACUUUUCUUUUUUUUGUCCUGUCUACAUUUAUCUUUAUGUUGGUACAACAUUUUAUAGGGUGUUUUAUAGGGGUGGUACAUUCAUGCUCCACAGGAUGCAAAAAUAUUGGAAAUAUUACUAAUACAAUAUUGUGGGGUUUUAACUUCUUUUUGUAUAUAAAUGGGAUUUUUAGCUUCUUUUUGUAUAUAUAUUUCUAGCUUACGCCUUUUCCUCCUGAAACAAUACCUGGCAAGCUGACAUGUGCCAUUAUUGAUACUUUUAGGUAUUUUCAGAGAGCUGCUCCUAUAGUUACCGGGCAGCAUAUUUCAGUACUCUAGGCGAGAGAUCCAAGCUAUUGUUCAGAUAUCACAACAGCUUACUGCUCAUAUUGCCUAUGAAGUGGAGCACAUGUUCUGGUGGUGUGAGAAUUUCCCCCCUAGCCUCACAGUAGUUUAUUACUCUCUUUGUUACCCAUCAGCCAACAUAGUAAGUUAAGUUGGUAAGUAAUGAUAAAGCAAUGUUGUGGAUAGACUUGGUAGUUUAUACUCUCAUCUAUUGUUGGUUUUAAUUCAAGUCUAUUGAUCUGCAUAGAUUUUCUGGUUGUUUGACGGCCGUGUGAGUAUAUUUUCUAAUUGUUCUGCGUAGAGUAUCGUUUUUCACUAAUAUUUUGUCCAUCUAAUGAUAUAUACUCCGUAUUUAAUAACGUGACAUUGAGUUUUUAAGUUCUUACAUUGGUAGAUUUUUCCCUUUUGUCCAAUUUGGGUACAUCCUACCCUAUGUGCCAUUUACCGCCCUAAAACUACGGUAUUUUACAUUGGUGCUUGUUGAGCUGAAAAUACGAUGGCAACUUCAUUGUAAAUGUGAUGCCCAUACCAUUGUGCAAUUAUGACAGAUAACGGGUACUGCAAACUGGUACUGAUGGUAGGAAGAAAAAUAUGCGAGGAACAUAAAGGAAUUUUUGAUGCUGGUGCUUCAUCUGCAAGGAGCUCAGGAUGGCCUUGUAUAUGUGGCGCUCGAGCAUCAGAUGGUUCACUUUGCAAGAGUCAUGCUGCCUCUAUACCAUCUACCGAACAAUAGACAUGGUUUCAUUUAUCCAUUUGUUUGUGUUGUAAUAAAGUUUCAGUUAGAAAUUUCAAAAGUACACUGAUUAUUCCAUUUACAAGGUGCCUUUCCUUCCAACAAUAAAAAAUAGGAUGAUAAGAAUGCAGAGUUGGUAGAUAACUAGAUAUAGUGUGCCUUGUAUAUGUGACUUUGGUAGUUAAAUCAUCUUGGUACAUUUUCCCUUGAUUUUGUUCUGGAAUCAAGUUCAGAAGUUCUCAAGCAGUCUAGCUGAUGCCAUGUGCUUUAUUGCUUUGGAUUUUCAUUCAGCUUGUAUACGGAUCUGCUUCUGGUGACCCCUUGCGGUUUAAAAGAGCUGUGGGCCAUAAGGAUCUCUACUAUAUCGAUGACAGGGAGGUCGACUUC